rnacentral:rRNA from 1 species
CCCUUAGAUGUUCUGGGCUGCACGCGUGUUACAAUCGGGAGUACAACAAGAUUGCAAAUCCUAGUGGAUGAGUGGUUCUUCGAAAUUUUCUGAAGACUGGGAUAGUUGAUUGAAAUUAUUCAACUCGAACGAGGAAUUCCUUGUAAUUGUAAUUCAUUAUAUUGUAAUGAAUACGUCCCUGCCCUUUGUACACACUGCCCGUCGCUCCUACCGAUUGGGUGUGCUGGUGAAAUGUUCGGAUCGGCCGUUUGUCGCGGUUUCCGCGUCAUGUGGCUGAGAAGUUCAUUAAACCCUCCCACCUAGAGGAAGGAGAAGUCGUAACA